GUGGGGAAUCUUAGACAAUGGGCGCAAGCCUGAUCUAGCCAUGCCGCGUGAGCGAUGAAGGCCUUAGGGUUGUAAAGCUCUUUCAGUGGGGAAGAUAAUGACUGUACCCACAGAAGAAGCCCCGGCUAACUCCGUGCCAGCAGCCGCGGUAAUACGGAGGGGGCUAGCGUUGUUCGGAAUUACUGGGCGUAAAGCGCACGUAGGCGGACCGGAAAGUCAGAGGUGAAAUCCCAGGGCUCAACCUUGGAACUGCCUUUGAAACUCCUGGUCUUGAGGUCGAGAGAGGUGAGUGGAAUUCCGAGUGUAGAGGUGAAAUUCGUAGAUAUUCGGAGGAACACCAGUGGCGAAGGCGGCUCACUGGCUCGAUACUGACGCUGAGGUGCGAAAGCGUGGGGAGCAAACAGGAUUAGAAACCCGGGUAGUCC
rnacentral:rRNA from 1 species